AUUGAACGCUGGCGGCAUGCCUUACACAUGCAAGUCGAACGGCAGCAUGAUCUAGCUUGCUAGAUUGAUGGCGCGUGGCGAACGGGUGAGUAAUACAUCGGAACGUGCCCUGUAGUGGGGGAUAACUAGUCGAAAGAUUAGCUAAUACCGCAUACGACCUGAGGGUGAAAGUGGGGGACCGCAAGGCCUCAUGCUCUAGGAGCGGCCGAUGCCUGAUUAGCUAGUUGGGGAGGUAAAGGCUCACCAAGGCGACGAUCAGUAGCUGGUCUGAGAGGACGAUCAGCCACACUGGAACUGAGACACGGCCCAGACUCCUACGGGAGGCAGCAGUGGGGAAUUUUGGACAAUGGGCGAAAGCCUGAUCCAGCAAUGCCGCGUGUGUGAAGAAGGCCUUCGGGUUGUAAAGCACUUUUGUCCGGAAAGAAAUGGCUCUGGUUAAUACCUGGGGUCGAUGACGGUACCGGAAGAAUAAGGACCGGCUAACUACGUG
rnacentral:rRNA from 1 species